AUUGAACGCUGGCGGCAGGCCUAACACAUGCAAGUCGAGCGAGCGGCGGACGGGUGAGUAAUGUCUGGGAAACUGCCUGAUGGAGGGGGAUAACUACUGGAAACGGUAGCUAAUACCGCAUACCAUCAGAUGUGCCCAGGUGGGAUUAGCUGGUAGGGGGGGUAACGGCCCACCUAGGCGACGAUCCCUAGCUGGGCUGAGAGGAUGACCAGCCACACGGGAACGGAGACACGGUCCAGACUCCUACGGGAGGCAGCAGUGGGGAAUAUUUCACAAUGGGCGCAAGCCUGAUGCAGCCAUGCCGCGUGAGUGAAGAAGUCCUUCGGGUUGUAAAGCACUGUCAGCGGGGAGGCGUUACCCGCAGAAGAAGCACCGGCUAACUCCGUGCCAGCAGCCGCGGUAAUAC
rnacentral:rRNA from 1 species